CAGAAACGAGGCCUGGAGAACACCUUGCACGAUGCCAAGCACUGGCACGACAUGGAGCUACAGAACCUGGGCGCCGUGGUCGGCCGGCUGGAGGCGGAGCUCAGCGAGAUCCGCGCGGAGGCCGAGCAGCAGCAGCAGCAGCGCUCGCACCUGCUGGCGCGCAAGUGCCAGCUGCAGAAGGACGUCGCGUCCUACCACGCCCUGCUGGACAGGGAGGAGAGCUGCUGAUGGAGAAAUCUCCUCUUCUCACAAGAAAAUGCUACCUUCCUCACCAACUGACCCGUGAAAUUGCCGGAGGAGCUUUCCCCUGAGCUUCAGCCCCUGCUAGAUUCCCUAGUUGAUUCAGCCUAGGCUGAAAAGCUUUCUGGAGUGGACAGGGUCCUUCUGCUUUAAUUUGAGUAGUCUGUAGCUUGAGCAACCUCCCUUGGCCCCCACAAAUAAAUGCUUUGUGUGCAGCUUCCA